rnacentral:tRNA from 1 species
GCGGGCGUAGUUCAGCGGUAGAAUGUCUCCCUUCCAAGGAGAAGGUCACCGGUUCAAAUCCGGCCGCCCGCUCCA